GGAGUUAGCCGGUGCUUCUUCUGUGAGUGAUGUCCUUCCUGCCGGCUAUUAACCCGCAGGCCUUCUUCCUCACUGAAAGUGCUUUACAACCCGAAGGCCUUCUUCACACACGCGGCAUGGCUGGAUCAGGGUUGCCCCCAUUGUCCAAUAUUCCCCACUGCUGCCUCCCGUAGGAGUCUGGGCCGUGUCUCAGUCCCAGUGUGGCUGAUCAUCCUCUCAGACCAGCUACGGAUCGUCGCCUUGGUGAGCCGUUACCUCACCAACCAGCUAAUCCGACAUAGGCUCAUCCGAUAGCGCGAGGCCCGAAGGUCCCCCGCUUUCCCCCGUAGGGCGUAUGCGGUAUUAGCCUGGGUUUCCCCAGGUUAUCCCCCACUACCGGGCAGAUUCCUAUGCAUUACUCACCCGUCCGCCGCUCGCCACCAGGGAGCAAGCUCCCCGUGCUGCCGCUCGACUUGCAUGUGUUAGGCCUGCCGCCAGCGUUCAAUCUGAGCCANAAUCGAAACCCUCGUACGUACGUAGACGGGCGGUCGGUCGGACGACGGGCGACAAGU
rnacentral:rRNA from 1 species